rnacentral:rRNA from 1 species
UGCAGCCGAGCGGUAGAGAUCUUUCGGGAUCUUGAGAGCGGCGUACGGGUGCGGAACACGUGUGCAACCUGCCUUUAUCUGGGGGAUAGCCUUUCGAAAGGGAGAUUAAUACCCCAUAAUAUAUUUAUCGGCAUCGAUAGAUAUUGAAAACUCCGGUGGAUAGAGAUGGGCACGCGCAAGAUUAGAUAGUUGGUGAGGUAACGGCUCACCAAGUCUACGAUCUUUAGGGGGCCUGAGAGGGUGAUCCCCCACACUGGUACUGAGACACGGACCAGACUCCUACGGGAGGCAGCAGUGAGGAAUAUUGGACAAUGGGUGAGAGCCUGAUCCAGCCAUCCCGCGUGAAGGACGACGGCCCUAUGGGUUGUAAACUUCUUUUGUAUAGGGAUAAACCUACUCUCGUGAGAGUAGCUGAAGGUACUAUACGAAUAAGCACCGGCUAACUCCGUGCCAGCAGCCGCGGUAAUACGGAGGGUGCAAGCGUUAUCCGGAUUUAUUGGGUUUAAAGGGUCCGUAGGCGGAUCUGUAAGUCAGUGGUGAAAUCUCACAGCUUAACUGUGAAACUGCCAUUGAUACUGCAGGUCUUGAGUGUUAUUGAAGUAGCUGGAAUAAGUAGUGUAGCGGUGAAAUGCAUAGAUAUUACUUAGAACACCAAUUGCGAAGGCAGGUUACUAAGCAACAACUGACGCUGAUGGACGAAAGCGUGGGGAGCGAACAGGAUUAGAUACCCUGGUAGUCCACGCCGUAAACGAUGCUAACUCGUUUUUGGGGCUUCGGCUUCAGAGACUAAGCGAAAGUGAUAAGUUAGCCACCUGGGGAGUACGUUCGCAAGAAUGAAACUCAAAGGAAUUGACGGGGGCCCGCAC